rnacentral:lncRNA from 1 species
GAUUUCAAGUUAGUAGAAGAUUCAAGAAUUGCGAAAGAUUCCUGAACGUUGGAGAUGGAAGAUCUGUUCCAGUCCUAGCUUUAGGAGUUAUUAAGCUUGUUUUUGAAUCUAGAGUAGUCAUAUUAGAUGAUUGUCAUUAUUGUCCAGCAUUUUUGAUGAAUGUCAUCUCUGUAGGCCUUUUGGCCAAAAAUGGUUAUUGUUUAUCAAUAAAAAAAAAUUUAUGAUAUUAUUUUGAAU